ACCCUUGCUCAACUUGUUGUUAUUCUCCCUGAGCGAUGGCGUCCAAAAAGCCUGAUAAAACCUAUGAAGAAAUGGUCAAGGAAGUAGAAAGGCUUAAACUGGAGAAUAAAACACUUAAACAAAAGGUUAAGUCUUCAGGCGCUGUCUCAUCAGAUGAUAGCAUCUUGACAGCUGCCAAGAGAGAAAGUAUCAUUGUCUCUUCAUCCAGAGCACUAGGAGCAGUGGCUAUGAGAAAAAUCGAGGCUAAAGUCAGAUCCCGGGCGGCCAAAGCUGUUACAGAGCAGGAACUAACCUCUCUUCUCCAAUCGCUGACCCUGAGAGUUGACGUGUCUAUGGAGGAAACUACUGUGGGUGCCAGCGGAGGGAUUGGCCCAUCCUCUCAAACAGAGACCAAGAAAAGAAGACCCAGGUGUGAUUAUCUGGAAUUAGUUGUGGUUGAACGGCGCCUGUGUACUCAAAGGAUCCGCCCAUAGCUGAGUUGGGAGUAGCAGAGACUCCAAUCAACUGGCUCAAGUAGACCUGCUUCGAUCCGUGCCAGUCCUAUAAGAACAGAAAACAUGGGGGAUGAAUUUUAUUAUCCUUCUCUGGAAAGCGUGGUCCACACCUUUUGUGUCAUAGAUACUAGGGAACAUAAUAGAGUAAGUGCCUGUUUGUGUAAGCUUCAGGUGCUGUGUAAAAUUUGUCAGACACUGCGCCACAACUUGGAUACAGAGCCAUUUUUGUUGCCCCACUUGAGGGAACUAAUUAUCAGACACCUAACACUAUUGGAGAGGUUGUCCACUACCUCCAAAUUUCAGCGCAUACUCGACUACAUGAAGCUAUCCCUUGAGGCAAAUGAUUCAAACUUGUUACAAGACUUGGCCAUAGGCACUGUCAAUUUACUGGGCUGUCAAAGUCCAGAGAUUUUGUCUAUCCCAUAUGACAAAGAUCAGCCUGUACAUGAAUGGUGUGCAUGUUUCCUGACCUCUGUAGACGAGGAAGCCUUGAGAAAAAUAUCUUCUAUGUUGGACAAUAAACACUUUUCUUAUAUGUACAACUUUAAAACAUUCUUAAAGUAUUCACUAGAGUUAGAAACAGCUGCAGACUUUGAUUUAUCUACUGGACUCAAUGUCCUUGUGUAUUGGGUAAGCGUCUUUAAACUGUUCAGUGUUUGUGUCCAAAGUCAGUUUCUGCUGGACAGCCUUGUGGCAUUUAAUGCCCUUUUUAAAAAUCAUGUAAAAGAGUUAGAAGCGAUUGUGGAAUCUGACACAAACCUGCUCUGCUAUAGCACAUCUGUUGUGUGGGCAAAAUUGUCUAACUUAAACCAUCUGCUCCACAGACUUCAGACUAGUAACAACACUUUAGUUUUUGAUGAAAUACUGAUCUGUCUGCGUGGUUUACAAAUUUAUAUAAAAUGUUUACCUACCUUAUCGGCUGAAGGGGAAUCCGAGUCAGAGGCCAUCGCUGCAGAAAUUCCCUCGUAGUGCAGGAGUUGUAUUUUUGAGUGUAGAUUGAAAAGAGUUGUGCUCUCUCCUCAGCCUUUGAAGGGACAUUUCAUGACUCAUGUAGGAGGAGCUACCAGAUUUCCAUAAAAGUGGGAGGCUAUUAUUUCUUGCAGACUGCAGCACAUUGUGGGAUAAUGUGUUCAAAAAUGGACCUUGAAACCCGUGAAGGUGGUGGUUGCCAGCAGGUUUCAAUUCUCAUGGUCACAUCUGACAGAGAAAAGGAACAGUAUGAGAAAUUUAUGAACAUACUUAAGAAUCUUUCAAAUUGUACUGAUAUAUCUCAGGUCGUGGCAGAUGCUAAAAAAAUCUAUGAUUCCAGGGAAUUUUGUUAUGUGCCUGCCCUUCUCACUCUGUUCAAGAAGUUGCCUUCUGUUCAUAAAUGGCCUGAAAAUGAAAACUGUAAUGAGGUGCUAAGUGCUGCCUUCUUUGUGUGCCAGCUCUUAUUUUUUCAUAACUUCCCAGCCUCACCAGCUUUUACAGUGGAUGAAAUGUUUGCAACAGUGGCUGCUAGAUUGAAGGAUCUGAUAGAAUAUUCAUGUGACUGUGAGAACUGUGAAUUGUUGGCUGAAUCCCUGACAAAUUAUAAGUUUUCCCUGGUACCUAUAAAGAUCAGGCCACACACCGAUACCUGUGUCUCACUGAAAACACUCCAGCGGCUACGGACUGCCAUGUUAGGCAAUCCUGAAACCCUGAGUAUUUGGACCCUUGAUGACCUGGUGGAGGACCCAGUAGUCUUCAAAGGCUAUGAAAGCGCAAUUAGGAGAGAAUUUGCUGAGCAUGUCACAUGUUUGAACAUGUGCUGGGUUGUGAAGAUAAUCUUGGACUGCAUGUCUCAGCCAACAGCUCUGCUUCGGGAUUGUAUUCAGAAGGGUGCAAAGAAUAAUGGACUCCAGCUGGACACUUCGAGUACCUGGACGUGGCCAGCAGCACGUAUUGCUGAAAAGGAAGUCAUAGAACAUACCAUGAGUGUUUGUGUACAGGAUAUGACUAGAAGUCAUGAUCAGGAAUUCUACACAGAGGCCUUUAAGGAAGAUCUCCAUAUAGGAUUAAAGAGACUAGUUGCCAUGGUCCUUGGGCAGAAUCAUAGUUGGUUAGAUGGCUUUCUGACAGACACUAUAGUGACAGGUAAAGCAUAGCCUGGGGCAUAGUUCUUUGAUGAAUCAUCAUAAAUAUGAUGGCUAAUGUGGUCCUUUUGUGUAUUAAUGCAGAUAUGUUUAUGUAUCCAGGUGUGUUGCUUGAAAGGUAUUUUGCUGUACUAACCCAACACCACCUAUUUAUCAUGUUUGGAAGCCUAUUAAAAACUGUGCUAUUGAC
rnacentral:tmRNA from 1 species